rnacentral:rRNA from 1 species
GGCAAUAGCAUUGUGGAACCACCCGAUCCCAUCUCGAACUCGGAAGUGAAACGCAAUAGCGCCGAUGGUAGUGUGGCACUAGCUCAUGCGAGAGUAGGACACCGCCGGGG